UUUGAUUAUGCACAACAUUGUGUCACCUGCUAAACUAACAUCAGAAGGCUGUGUGUAUAUUACAUUUUGAAAUAUACUCUUUUGCCAUAAAUGUUUUCUAAAGAUGAUUCUCUUGAAAAAUAUGUUCCUUGUACGAGUGAAAAAACUUUAGAAUAGGGGCAAGUUAACCUGUCGUGAUAACAAUGUUUUCCAUAGUUGAUUUUUAACAGUUAAGAAAACUGGUGAAGGGUAAUGGAUGUAGCUUUCAACGCAGUAGUAGUGUUGUACAUCAAGUGUAUAGACUUUAGAGGGACUGUUAUAUAAGAUAACCAUUGAAGUAUUAUUAUGAUACAAGGAGACAUGAUCGGCAAGAAUGGUAUGGUUCUUAUGGAAACCAUUUUGAAGGCUAUAUAAGUCUUACCCAUGAAACCUUGUUGGUAGCAAAGAGAAAAAUCUCAAAGGAAACACAAGGAAGCAUUUUGCUAUCAAAAAAUUAGAAGUUGAGAUGAAAUAUGUAUAAAUGUUGGUUGCAUGUAUAAUGACUCAUUGGAUGUGGCUAAAGUAUAGAUUUAACUUAUGGGUAAGUCUGCUAGAAAAAACUUUUUAGGGCCGCCCAAUGAUACUGUAUAUACUCCUUAUUAGCCGCGUGGAAACGAGACUGAGUACCACCUUUGGCGUGAUCCCUUUUGCUGUUAUGUUAGUCUUAUUUAAGCUUGAAGGAAACUUGUUGGGAGCGAAUUACAUACUUCGUAUUAUAGUUAGGUAUGGUAAAAAAAAAAAUGUGCCAACACAUCUAAAAUUAAAGCCUUCCUUAGCUCUCAUGUUCAAGUUCAUAUAUUCCGUUGAGUCAUAGGUGACACUUGACUGAAAAUUGUCUUUGCUUACCCAUGUGUGAUGUAAACAAUACAAGAAUAAAAUAGAUUGCCUUAGAAGAUCAUCAGAAGCCCAUUAUCUCAAUGCUUGGUGACAGCCUAAAAUGUGAAGGUAUUCGACCACAUCUACUGUGUGGAAGUCUCCUAUAUCUUCUAAAUAGUCUUAAAAAUCGUCACUAAUGAUCUUGGUGUGCGGUGUCGAAUAUAGAUUAAACUGCAAAAUUUCUUGGUAGAACUAAGAUUUCAUUGAAGUAAAUCAUGCCCACUAUGCCAGGGCUCACAGAAAUCUUAUCUAAGAAGUUGUUAGGAUUUCCAUUUGACAUAACCAGAAAAUAUAGAUGACUCAACCAUAGAUUAUACCAUUUUCAAUAUCACUUCUUUGAGUGACUUUUUGGAAACUCUUAAGAGCCUAUGUUACUGGGAUAUGAUAUCUAAGCGUUAGACUAAAAAAAACUCAAAUUUGAAGUCAUGUUAACCGUGUCUUGAUUUUGGACACGAGUAAGAUAGACAUAAACAUAAUAUAAAAUAAGUAUCAGAUUUCAAGUUAGAAAUCAAUAAUGGAAAUUAAAUAUAUUGCUCCGUAUUAUACAAGUGACAUUAUAACAUCCAAAAUCUUAAAUUUCAAUAUUUAAAUUAAAUUGAAACUCCAUUUCUGUUAAAUAAUAAUUUUUUUUUUAUUCCAAUGAAAAAACUUAUCCCCUUAAACUAACAAAACAUAUAAACUUUGACUUGUAGAUUUCUCAACAAAAGAAUGGAGGUCACUGCUUCUAUAUCUGGAUCGUCUAAAGACAACUAGCAAACUCUAGUACACUAUUUCCGCAACAAAUAACACCCUUAUCCAAUGUUACAAAAAGCUAAGUAAACAACAUCUGGUAGUUCUUUUGAAAGCCUAGAACAGAGUUGGUGUUCAUUUGAAGGACGCAAAGUACUUUUUAUAUUUAGAAUCUUACCAAUAUCCAAAAUUUAAAUGGACCCUCGGCUUAGUCAUAGAAAUCAAAGGUUAUUGUGUAAUACUCUGAACCAUACACCAGAGACACCACAAAUACUCUAAUUGCAUCCAAACCAAGAUGAAGAGGAGUUUUUGAAACCCACUUAAAAGCAAAACCUUGCAAAAAUUGUGUGAAAGAACCAUCAUAGUUUCUCCAUGCGAAAGGUCUUCUUAAGGCUUUAAAAAUGUGACAUGAUGUUCUCAAAGCAGUUUAAUCCACAGAAGAAUGGAAAUACCCCUAUCGUGUUGUUGUGGGAGAAAUAAAUGAAAUUUGUGGAAAUCAGUGGGUGGGAUAAAAUUGGAGACAAAUUUCAAAUUUGCUUCUAUUUUGCAUAUAGUCAUGAUAGAGGUUCUUAAGGCUAACAUUUUUUAAUUAUGAGGGGUAAAACAUAAGUUUUGAGAAAAGCAUGUGGAGAAUGUAUUGAUCUGGGAAUUCCAAAUGAGGAUGAAGAGGUAUCACCGUAUCACUAAAAAUAGACCAGUGCUUCUAACGAUUUUCGUUAUUAUGAAGGAUCUCUAAAAUGUCUAUAAAGAGUAUUUGCCUUUUUCUUGUGGAUUGAGUUACUUUGGGCAACCUCAUGUUGAUGAAGAAUUGAAGAUCCUCUAGAAUGGCAUGCCAAUAUUUUUUUCUUACACACCAUUGGUGCAAGGUCUUGCUUUUAAGUAGCUCUCACGAUCACCUCUUCGUCUUGUUGUGAAACCGUGAACGUAACUGGAUCAUUAUGCUAUUCAAGGUGUUAAACAAACUGUAUAGGAACCUUUGAGUGCUAAUAUUGCUAAUAAUACACUGUGGGUUAAUCUAAAUUUUAGGACGUUGGUAAGAUUGCAAUAAAUAUCAUCUUUACAUUCUCGGCUUUUAGAAUAUACAUUAAUGAUGCUUACUUAGUUUUUGUUUCUUUUAUGGGGGAGGCAGAAUUGCGAUAGACCGAUAGUGUAUUGGAGUAAAUAGAAACAAUGACCUUUGAUCUUGAUGUUUGAGUUCACAAAGCUGGACACUUUUUUUUUUUUUUUUUGAAAUUAGAAGGCAAGAUUUUUGUUAUUUUACAUAUAACGGACUUUUCCGUUGUUUUAGAUAUAUUUUAUUGGAUGUUAAAAUAUCACCUACGAAGUACAAAAUUAUACUCCCUCAUUUUAUGAGGACAAGGUGUAUGUUAUCACCUCAUUUUAUGGACAUAGAAGUUGAUUCAACUUGGCAGAGUUGUCAACCUGCAAACCUUGCUUUUAUGCGAUCUUUGCCUGAAUACGGUGAAAUACUGCCGCACUGUUUAGGGCCUGGAUACGUUUCUACAGUUGGGGCUUUUUUGAAAAGCAAUACCCUCUUUAAAGUACUGCAACUACUAAAAUUGGAACAAAAUCACCACAUUGAUGGAUUGUGGACUUCUACCAUACAUAAUUCUUAGUGCUCCAGUUGUUCUGUAAAUCUGCAUUAAGUACUUGUGACAAAUAGAAUCUACUUAAACUACUAUUUCCUCCGUUUUUUCAAUUGCAUCAUUUGGAGUUACACUAUUCACACAUUUCCCUUUGACCAUCUUUUGUGAUUUAUACAUAAGGAAAAAUAUAAUAAUGUGUAAACUUAUUGGGUUCAUCUUGAUAAAAUAUCAACUUUUUAUUUUAUUUUUACCUAAAAAGAUAAUUUAAGAUACUAAUGGUCAAAGUUACCCUAAACCCUCACUCCACUGCAAUUAAAAAAAAACCCGAGGAAGGAUAAUGUAGAACGGCAGUAAUAUAGUCAUUGACGGUCAUUUGCUAUUUUCUUUGAAGAGGAUGAAAUGAAGUACUAUGUUAUGCAAUUAGACUUGUAUUCUUGUUGAAUGUUGUCGAGUUUUACCCCCAGCUGAAGAUAUUGACAGAUACGAAAAUAGACUAGGAAAAAAAUGGAUUAAGAGUCAUUGCUGCAUGCAUGCAGAGUUAGUAUCUUGGCAUGUAUUGUUGACGUUAUUAUAAACACAAAUGGGUAAACAUAGAAUAAAAGAACUGACUUCAUAUAUAAUUCAUAGAAUGCAUGAUAAGUACACAACUACUCUGGCAUGUAAUUCUAGUUGUGAAAUGAAUGUCCAGCACCAGGGCUUCGACCUGGGGCGGUGGGUCUAAAACCAUCUAAUUGACCAGGGGAUGGUGGUGAACCUGGUAUUGACUGAGAUUCGUCACUGACCUGAACUGGCGCCGUAUGUUGGAGCUCAUUAACAUUUGUUUCUCUUUUUGGUCUGUCAUCAUGUAUGUUUAUGUGGUUUUUUGUGGUUUCCUUUGUUUUUUGGUGACUAUGGAACUUUUGGAAAUCUUUGGUUUUCCCUAAUCUCAGUUGUCUUCCUUUGACAAGCUGGAUUUCUUGGUGGAAAAGCAUUGCCAGAAUAAACCAAGCAAUUAUCAACUUAUUGCAGCCCAUUUCUAGCUUGAAGUUAAGGAGGGAAGUGGAAGGUUUUAGGUUCUUUAGCAUAAAAGUAUGCAGGGCAAGAUGCUCUUACCUCUUAACUCCUGGUGAUAUUUAUAGUACUUGAACACUAAACUCUGAUACCACCACACUAUUCCCAGCCACCUUGAAGAUUCCUUGAGCUGUCAUUUACAAUACAAUGCCAUGCGCCAAUAUAUAAAAAAGCUCAAGGAGCACCAAGGAAUUCAGAGUCCCCUAUGCCAGGCGCGUGCCUUAUAAAUAUUGUGAAACUGUUGUGCGCCUCAAGGUGAACCUCGGUACUCAUUUCACUUCCACCUUUUUUAAAGCCUUACCUGCCCCUGGGGAAUGAAAUCUGUCAGACUUGGAGCCAAUUUAUUCUGGCUCCCGCCGGCGUCUGCCUUCAAAUUCUAAACUAUUAGGCGACGUCUCUAAAAGAGGACAUGAAGCCAACUUCACUCUCAUUACUACUAGGUUGGCAGCGUGGGAUUUAAAAGGUAACUUUGAGUUGACAAGAAAAUAGAUUAAAACGACAUGUGAACAGUAUGACUAUGACUAACUGAUGUUUGGUUGGAGGAGUUGAUAACUUUCCCUGAUAAUUGGAGUGUUGCCAUCUUCAGCAUUAUUAGCUCAUUUGUCCUUUUACCAUCAUGUAUUUGUGUGUGCACAUUCUUGAAGCCAGUUUAAUUGCACAUGCAAAUGCUAGCAACUCAUGAAGGCGUUGGUUGAGUACCCUGUUUUAGACCCAGUCCUCAGAGUUGUUUUCAUUUUUCAUUUUUGUUGAGCUCUGGACAACACUUCUAACGGAGUCGGGUAGAUUGUUACUCCGUACUUGUAAAUUGUUAUGAUCUUGUUAUUACAGCAUCAUAAUUUCAUGUAAUGAAGGAGCUUUUGGAUGCAUAUAGACGGGUUGACGGAUACGUGUUUGUAUUUCAACAAGGAGCUCUGAUAAAACUCGACAUAUUUCAUAAGAAUUGUAACAGCGUAAACUGGAUAUGAAUCUUGGGGCAUAUUUGGUAGGCAGUGCAGUGGUGGUGAAUUGGUGUAAUUGUAAUGAACUUGUGUACUUCGCAUGUCAAGUCAUGAAUUUUAACAUGUAAAUUUGAUGUCUUACCAUCUUAGUCAACCAUCAGAUAUACAAUUUGUCGCACAAUUAUAUAUAAAUUAGAAGUUUAGAACAUC